UAGGGAAUCUUUGGCAAUGGACGAAAGUCUGACCGAGCAACGCCGCGUGAGUGAAGAAGGUUUUCGGAUCGUAAAACUCUGUUGUUAGAGAAGAAAAAGGACGUUAGUAACUGAACGUCCCCUGACGGUAUCUAACCAGAAAGCCACGGCUAACUACGUGCCAGCAGCCGCGGUAAUACGUAGGUGGCAAGCGUUGUCCGGAUUUAUUGGGCGUAAAGCGAGCGCAGGCGGUUUCUUAAGUCUGAUGUGAAAGCCCCCGGCUCAACCGGGGAGGGUCAUUGGAAACUGGGAGACUUGAGUGCAGAAGAGGAGAGUGGAAUUCCAUGUGUAGCGGUGAAAUGCGUAGAUAUAUGGAGGAACACCAGUGGCGAAGGCGGCUCUCUGGUCUGUAACUGACGCUGAGGCUCGAAAGCGUGGGGAGCAAACAGG
rnacentral:rRNA from 1 species